rnacentral:rRNA from 1 species
GCAUAUCAAUAAGCGGAGGAAAAGAAAAUAACAAUGAUUCCCCCAGUAACGGCGAGUGAACAGGGAAAAGCUCAAAGUUGGAAGCUCCUGGCCCUAGGCUAGGCGCAUUGUAAACUAAAGCUGUAAAGUAGUUCGGUUGGCCUGGUAAAAAAGUUCCCUGGAAUGGGGCGACAUGGAGGGUGAAAUCCCCGUCUUUGGCCAGAGUUCAGCCGUGCGUUUGCUUUGCUGCGAAGAGUCAGGUUGUUUGGGAAUGCAGCCUAAAAUGGGAGGUAGACUUCUCCUAAAGCUAAAUAUUGACGAAAGACCGAUAGCGAACAAGUACCGUGAGGGAAAGAUGAAAAGCACUUUGAAAAGAGGGUCAAAAAGUACGUGAAAUUGCUGAAAGGGAACCGUAUGAAAUCAGCCUGAUGUAUGGGUAAUCAGCCUGGGCUUUGGCCUGGGUGCACUUGCCCAUGUAUUAGCCUGCGACAGUUUGACCUGGGGGAAAAAAGAUGGGGGAAUGUGGCCUCGGCUUCGGUCGUGGUGUUAUAGCCCCUGUCAAAAUACCUUGGGUUGGACUGAGGACUGCAGCGAGCCGUAAGGCAUGGGUCUCGGGCGCUCUGUCUCGGCGAAAAGUGAAUCUCUGCUUCGGGUGGUGCGCUUUUCUUCAGGGCAGACUCGCCUGUUUCUUCUUUCUCUCGCUUAGGUCGUAGGCAUAAUGAUUUUAUAUGACC